AGAGUCUGAUCCUGGCUCAGAACGAACGCUGGCGGCGUGGCUAACACAUGCAAGUCGAACGCGAACGGCUCUUCGGAGCUUAUUAGAGUGGCGAAAGGGCGAGGAAUACUUGGGUAACGUACCCUACACACCGGGAUAACUGUGGGAAACUACAGAUAAUACUGGAUGAGACCACGACUCGUAAGAGUUGUGCUCAAAGGGCGGGGAUCUCUUCGGAGACCCGUUGGUGUGGGAGCGGCCCAAGUCCUAUCAGGUCGUUGGUGAGGUAAUGGCUCACCAAGCCUACGACGGGUACCGGGACUGAGAGGUUGAUCCGGCGCAUUGGGACUGAGACACUGCCCAGACUCCUACGGGAGGCUGCAGUAACGAAUAUUGGACAAUGAGCGAAAGCUUGAUCCAGCGACGCCGCGUGUAGGAUGAAGUCCCUCGGGAUGUAAACUACUGUCAGGGACUACCAAGCAAGGACUGUUAAUACCGGUCUGCGUUGAGGAAUCCCAGAGGAAGCCACGGCUAACUUCGUGCCAGCAGCCGCGGUAAGACGAAGGUGGCGAGCGUUGUUCGGAAUUACUGGGCUUAAAGCGCAUGCAGGCGGAUCAUCAGGUGUCUUGUGAAAGCCCUCGGCUCAACCGAGGAACUGCUGGGCAAACCGAUGAUCUUGAGGCAGGUAGGGGCAACGGGAACUCUUGGUGGAGCGGUGGAAUGCGUAGAUAUCAAGAGGAACGCCAGAGGCGAAGGCGCGUUGCUGGGCCUGUCCUGACGCUGAGAUGCGAAAGCGUGGGUAGCGAACGGGAUUAGAUACCCCGGUAGUCCACGCCCUAAACGAUGUCAACUAGAUCGAGGGUUCUCUGACGGAUUCUUGGUCGAAAUGAAAACGGUAAGUUGACCGCCUGGGGAGUACGGUCGCAAGGCUAAAACUCAAAGGAAUUGACGGGGGCUCACACAAGCGGUGGAGCAUGUUGCUUAAUUCGAUUCAACGCGAAGAACCUUAUCCUGGGCUUGACAUAUUUGGAUGACCAUCUGGAAACAGAGUAGUCUGCUCUUCGGAGUGAAACUUAUACAGGUGCUGCAUGGCUGUCGUCAGCUCGUGUCGUGAGAUGUUGGGUUAAGUCCCGUAACGAGCGAAACCCUUGUCGUUAGUUGCCAGCGCGUUAUGGCGGGGACUCUAGCGAGACUGCCGGUGUUAAACCGGAGGAAGGUGGGGAUGACGUCAAGUCCUCAUGGCCUUUAUGCCCAGGGCUGCAAACGUGCUACAAUGGCGUGUACAAACCGAACAAGACCGCGAGGUGGAGUAAAUCGGAAAAAACACGCCCCAGUUCGGAUUGGAGUCUGCAACUCGACUCCAAGAAGUCGGAAUCGCUAGUAAUCGCGUAUCAGCGUGACGCGGUGAAUGAGUUCCUGAGCCUUGUACACACCGCCCGUCAAGUCAUGGAAGCUGGUAGCACCCGAAGUCGCCCUAUUUCAGGGGUGCCGAAGGUGAGAUCGGUAACUGGGACUAAGUCGAAACAAGGUA
rnacentral:rRNA from 1 species